rnacentral:tRNA from 1 species
CAGAGAAUAGUUUAUUAUAAAAUAUUAAUUUUGGAGAUUAAUGAAAAGAAAUUUAUCUUUUCUCUGA